rnacentral:misc_RNA from 1 species
AACGCAUCUUGCGCUCCUUGGUAUUCCGAGGAGCAUGCCUGUUUGAGUGUCAUUAAAUUCUCAACUAUACUAAGUCUUAUCUUGGUGUAGCUUGGAUCAAUGAGGGCUUUUGCAGGCUUUUAUAAAAUAAAGUCAGCUCCCUUGAAAUUUAUUAGCAGUAUCUGAGCAGAGGGAUACUACUACAGGUGUGAUAAAUAUCUAUGCCUUAGACCUCUGUGAAUUAAGAUUGCACUGCUUCUAACUCCCAUAUAUUUGACAUGCUUGACCUCAAAUCAGGUAGGACUACCCGCUGAACUUAA